GCAUCCUACCACAACCCCAUGGCCAGAAACCAGCUGAGUGACCGUGGUCUGAACUAAUUGUGGUAGCAUGCAGAAAAAGUGAAAGGAUCUCUUUAAGCGCAAAAAGGUCUGCACGCACCCAAGCGUACAGGAUUGUUGGCACAAUUUUACACUAACACAGACUGCAGAAGUGGUUUGUUUAUGGGGAAAAAAACACCAAAGGGCUUUCUUUUAAGUUUAUAAUAAAUGCUGUAGCUCAAUCUACUACGGUUUAUACCACCACCACUACCACCACUCGAGCCCAGCCACCAGUUAUGCUUACCCCGAAAAUUUUUGAAGUUGGACCAUAUGUAAUCAGGAAAACUGGCCAACAACAGAUAUUAUUUGAUCCGGCAUGGUCUCUUAAACAAGUCAAAUUGCUGAUGCAAAACAAUGUCUCAGAAAUACAACCAGCUUGUUCACCCUUUUUGCAAACCUCUUUUCAGGCUUGGACAACCUGGCUGCGACAGUGGAACCCUCCUAAAAAACGGGUGCCAAGAGACAUAACUGGUGUUGUGGGAACAGAAUUGGGAAUCAAUUCAGAGCUCCAGUUACCUUACAUGAACUUUUAGAAUCCAAUCUCAUGUUGAUUCACAAGCUACUGCCUACUCCCAUUGGGAUGAACCUUACUUUGGUAAAGCAACCAUUACUUCAUCAAGAUCUAAUAGAGAUCCUAGGAAAAAUCAAGGAGAAUGGACAGAAAACUCUGUCCUGAAGACUCCACGACGACACCAUGGAACCCUGCUGAUGAAGAUCUUUCGAGGGCAAUCGUCACUCACGGGGUGGUGUAAGAGCCCGUCUGAAGCCCCUCAUUUUCCAUUCUGCCUUCCGAUUGCCACAAGAAAGAAUCCCUUCCUCCACUGCAGUUCCGGCUUAGAACAGGACACAGUGCAGGUGCAACCACUGAACCGUCAUGCUGGCUGAUCCCAACAAGGCCUGGUAAGAACUUGGCAAGGACUUGGCAAGGACUUGGCAAAGACCUGACGUGGACCCAGCACGGGACAGCCUGAUGCGCGGCCUGCUUCUAAUCUCCGUUCUUAAGCCAAAUGAACUUUUGGGGUGACUCCCGGGGUCCUUCAUUGAAGACCCCUCAUCUGCCUCGUUACCAGUGUGACAAACAAAGAAUGAGAACCCUCCUCCCAAGGACUGAGACUGAGACCCCUGCUAUAGGGAGGAGGGGAAAUUGGUGGUCUGACCACUAAUGACAUGACCUGUUUCCCUUCAGUGAUUCAAAUGGACUUAUUCUUUGUCGGAACCCAAGGUGUCCCUCAGACACUCUUGGAUGUUCUGGGCCCAGGGCAGAAGCCUCUGAGACCCUGGCAGGCGGCCAGGGACCCCUGUGGUCUUGAGCUUGACCCAUGGAACAAUUUACCAACCUUGCAGGAAGAACAAGAAAUCACAAAAGUUUAGAUAUUAUAAUAGAAGUAGUCACAAAGUGAAAGGUAGGAUUUUUGAGUGCUGUACAGGGGGUUUUAGGCCUUGUACAGGGGGGUCUGAGGUUUGUACAUGGGGGUCAGAGGUUCUAAGAUGGAGGGAUUUGGGCGUGCCCUGUCCUCCUUCUUUCUUCUUCCUAUUCUCCAUGUUCUUGAUGAUGUUGGCACUCACAGAUUGGUUUAGAGUAGAAAGUCACUGUUCAAUAUAGGUAGUAGGCAUUGGGGAAAAACUAUAAACACCUAAUACGUAAUGUGUGAUAUAAAAGAUGGCACCAGCCCCUCGGGGAGGGGAGACGGGAGACAGCCAGAGACGGGGACAGACAGAGUCAGGGACAAUGCCAGGGAGUCUGUGUGCCUUGAGAUAACAUGCAAUAAACUGCCUUGAGACCGGA